rnacentral:rRNA from 1 species
UACGGGGGGAGCAAGCGUUGUUCGGAAUCACUGGGCGUAAAGGGAGUCUAGGCGGUUUGGUAAGUGGGAUGUGAAAUCCCCGGGCUCACCCCGGGACCUGCAUCCCAAACUGCUGAGCUUGAGUACAGGAGAGGGUGGGGGAAUUCCAGGUGUAGCGGUGAAAUGCGUAGAUAUCUGGAGGAACACCGGUGGCGAAGGCGGGUCUCUGGGCCACUACUGACGCUGAGGAGCGAAAGCGUGGGGAGCGAACAGG